GUUGUGUCCUGGUCCAGUCCUCGAGUAGAGGUUUGUAUCCUGGCGUACAGGAUGAACGACUGGCGGCGUGCUUAACACAUGCAAGUCGAACGGACCCAUAUUGAAACUAGUGAUAUAUGGGUUAGUGGGCGGGACGGGUAGGAGUAACGGCGUGGGUAACCGUCGACCUUACACAGGGGGAUAACACUUAGAAAUAAGGUGCUAAAACCGCAUAAGCGCACAGCUUCGCAUGAAGCGGUGUGAAAAACUCCGGUGGUGUAAGAUGGACCCGCGUCUGAUUAGCUUGUUGGCGGGGUAACGGCCCACCAAGGCGACGAUCAGUAGCCGGCCUGAGAGGGCGGACGGCCACAUUGGGACUGAGACACGGCCCAGACUCCUACGGGAGGCAGCAGUGGGGGAAUAUUGCACAAUGGGGGAAACCCUGAUGCAGCGACGCCGCGUGAGUGAAGAAGUAAUUCGUUACGUAAAGCUCUAUCAGCAGGGAAGAAAAUGACGGUACCUGAGUAAGAAGCCCCGGCUAACUACGUG
rnacentral:rRNA from 1 species